rnacentral:lncRNA from 7 species
AAGUCAUCAUCAGCUUCCACUAGAGCUGCAGGACAUGAACAGGCUCUUCAGGAUUAGAAUCACUAAAGUUGCCACAGGAGAGGCCAAGCACAUUAGUGAAAUAACACAAGUACUCCACCCUUGGAAGAUCUGUAAAUACAGCACUCCAAAACCAUCUGUCAGCCCUCCAAAACCACUGCAGGAAAGCCUUCUGUUCUCCUUGAGAAAGGAGAACAGUUCAACAUGACCCCAUUUAGUGAUGGAAAUUUAUGAUGCGAGUCACUGUAUCAAAGACAAGAGAGCAUGGAGCAUCUUGUUGAAGAAUCCAUAUCGUUUUAGGAUGCAUGCUCUGGGACACAGUUUUGCUGCAUUGCAGACAAAUGCUAAAUCAGCCUCCUGAGCCAGACACAGCACUCAAGCUUUCAACAAAAGGCCUCAAAGUCCUCUUUGACCUCAUCAUGGCCAGAAAUCUCAUUGCUGCCUCUGCCAGGUCAUAGAUUUUAAGAAGUGGACUCACCAUGAGCCUUCAAGCCAAUGUCGUUUUUGCAUGGACCACAGGACUUGCUGACAUCAGUUCCUGCUUCAAGUCCAAAGACAAUGGUUGGAAUAAAACAGAUCAUUUUGGAAAUAUUUCCAGUAUACACAUUCUCAACCCAGUAUUAGUUGUUCCAAUGAUUGUUUUUAUUUCCAUUUUUAAUUAAUUUUAAUUAAAAAUUUAUUUCCAACU